UCCUAUGAUAUGUUUAUUUACUGCAGUGCGCAUGGUCAACUAUAGGAGGCGCUGUGACAGUGGAGAGAAUUAGUGAAGAAGAACAAACCUCAUUCUGCCAUGGAAACAACAGACGCUAACACAUGCUAAUGCUAACGAGUCCCACCAGGCAACGCAGUGAGAAACGAAUAGUUCUGAACUUUUCAGGUAGAAAACGUAAAUAGUAAAGAAUAAGAACUGCCUACUCAUGCUAACCAGCUAGCAUUAGCCCGUAUCACUGUGUAGGAGGAAUAGAGAACAAACGUUUAAUGAUGUGGAAGAACCGAGCGGGACGAAGCUCAGCUUUAGCCCGAGCUGAGGCUCUGCUGUCGGUCAGGAGGAGCAGCACGGAGGGGGGACAGGGUUCUGUAGGUGGUUCAUUGAAACCCAGAGCAGCUCAUCCAACCCAUCCAACCCAUCCAACCUGUCUCAGUGACCUCAGUGACCUUUCCUCUGUCACUUCACUUCCUGAACCUCAUGUUGAGAAGAAUCCUGGGGGAGGGGCUUCACUCAAGACGUCGUGCAUCACCUUCACCUGGACCUUCACCUGGACCUUCACCUGGACCUUCACCUGGACCUUCACCUGGACCUUCACCUGGACCUUCACCUGGACCUGCUCAGAGAAUGCAGACUGCUCACUCAGAGACCCCUCCACCCCACAGGCUCAGAGCUGUGUGUGUAGACAGUGAUGAAGAGGACAUGAAGAAGCUGUUAGAAGACCAUGUGGAGGUCAGUAAUUAUUCUCAGCUGUUAGCAGGCCUCGGGAGUAACAGAAUACAAGUAACAGCGUUACAUAAUCUGGAUAACUUUAAUCCGUUACAGUAUAUUAAAAACAUGUAAUCAGAU
rnacentral:lncRNA from 1 species